rnacentral:rRNA from 1 species
CACGUAGGGGGCAAGCGUUGUCCGGAUUUAUUGGGCGUAAAGAGCUCGUAGGUGGCUGAGUAAGUCGGAUGUUAAAUCCCCAGGCUCAACCUGGGACACCACCCGAUACUGCUCUGGCUAGAGUCCGGUAGGGGAGCGUGGAAUUCCUGGUGUAGCGGUGAAAUGCGUAGAUAUCUGGAGGAACACCGGUGGCGAAGGCGGCAUCCUGGACCGGUAUUGACGCUGAGGCGCGAAAGCUAGGGGAGCAAACGGG